rnacentral:rRNA from 1 species
CACGUAGGGGACGAGCGUUGUCCGGAUUUAUUGGGCGUAAAGCGCGUGUAGGCGGCCACGCAGGUCCGCUGUGAAAACUCGAGGCUCAACCUCGAGCUGUCGGUGGAAACCGCGUGGCUAGAGUCCGGAAGAGGGGACUGGAAUUCCCGGUGUAGCGGUGGAAUGCGCAGAUAUCGGGAGGAACACCCGUGGCGAAGGCGGGUCCCUGGGACGGUACUGACGCUGAGACGCGAAAGCGUGGGGAGCGAACAGG